AUCUGAAAAUUGCAUGGGACACCUUGAGUGCUGAUGRGAUUAUAACAGAGGACAGAAAGAACACUCUCACUGCACUCACACCCUCUGCAAUACAAAAGUGACUUUGUAGAGCUUGAUGGUAGAGCAAUUCCUUUAAUAGAUUGUGCAGCGUUGUGUCCGUGAAUUUCCAGAGUUUGCAUUAAAAAGUGACAGAACAUYAGAGUGCCAGAAGCUGCUCAUAUUGUGGCCCUGAAGCAAUCCUGCUCACCAAAUAAAUAAACCAGAGGCAUGAAACCUACUGUUCCAUCUUCUGUGCCAGAUGAAUACAGAAGGCUCUCUCCAUGCAAUUUGCAAGGUUCAUGUAUUUCUACGAUUGCACCCAACUUUCAUAAAGCAGCAGGAUUAGGGCAUCAUUCCUGCAGGACACACCACCUUUCCUUACACAAACUCCAUUYAAUAUCUCUGCCGCAGGUUCAGAACUGAUCACUGCUCCCAAGGCUGUUUGAAACACUCUGGCCACUGACCUCAGUUGUUACCACCCUCAUUUCCCAAUAUGGCCCAGAUUUGUAGUUACACUCUCUCUGGGAGCUGUUGAGGCUGCAGGGGGCUGGACAUGACAUUGGCUCUGAUCCCAGUGCCCUCACACAUGACCCCAAUCAGCUUCGCUACAAUUCUCAUGGUACACACAGGGUUUCCAGAUGGAAAGAGAAAAAGAAAUGUUAUCAGCACAAUCCAAAUGGAAAAGGGUUAUUUUUUUUUUCAUAGAUUAUCUCUGAUGCUGAUACAUGGGAGUUAUUAAUUAAUCUUUUUGUAUAAGAAUAGUUUCAUUUGUUUGAACAAGGGAAAUAUAUCAGGCUUACUUUGAUUGUCAGAUUSCUAUUUUUCUUUUAAAAUGGGAAAUAAUGCUAAAAGGAAUUAUCCUUUCUUUUUAAUGCAUUUUCUACUGUUCAUCAAAUCUCUCAGUCCAUGAUUUGGCGUACCACUAGAGCUGCUGAGUGUUGGAGCUGGGAAAGGAGCAGCGCUUCUGGACAGUCACUCAGUUUGUUGUGUUCAGUGUCAGUGGGAUGAGCAAAUAAGGUGGGCAGUAACUGGAGGAAAAWGCUGCUGUAUUUCUUUCUUGGCACAACCCAGGAUCUUUAUUUGCAAUUCACUUAUUGUUAUACAAGCCCCUUUUUGCCAGAUCCUCAAGUUUUGGCAGUUUCUUCAUUAAAGUCAUCUCUGCUAACAAAUCUUUCUUGAUUAUACCAAUUUUUAGUGCAGUUUAGAGGUGCAACUAUGCUAUACUGAGACCAAGUUGUUUGCUGGGUGAGCAGUUUACUGAGCAAAUAUGUAGUGCCAGAGUUCACACACAGCUCUGAACAUGUGUAAUUCAUACAUACAACUUAUUUUGUUAAGUAAGACUACGUUUGGAAGUUUUCAGAAUCAGAACCUGGAAUGACUUUUUCUGCCCUGCUCCUACUCCUCCAGCCUCAAACCCAUGAUCCAAAAAAUAAGCAACAUGCUGAACUGCAGAAAACUCUCACCAUCAGCUCACUUUUUAUUUAAUAGCAACCAGGUAUUUUUCCUGCCAGAUCCAUGCUGAGGUUUUGAUGACAUGCAUAUGGCAUACAGUGGCCAGUAAGGUUAAUCUCAGAUCUAUAUUUUUUAAUAUAGAUUCCMAUGAGGAUAUCAUAUUCUGCACCUGCUGUCGAUGUAAAGAUGGCUUUCCCAACUGCAACUCACCUCAYGGCGUGUUCUUGAAAACCUUUCACUUUUAACAUAUCUGCUUAAUAAAAAUGCCUUCAGUGACAGUGAAAAAUGGAACCUAUCAAUGUGUUACCAGCCCACAUUUCCAUUGCAACCAUCUAAACUUGAGAGAGCCRUGCACUCAGUGAGAGGCAAUGAUGCUGUUACAGCCUGACAAGGGCAUUUUGAGAUCCUUGGGCAUUGACUGCACAAAUGCUCUUAUAGGUUUAUCUUUUAGAAUGGGCCUUGCAGUWGGGAUAUUUGAAAAUUUCUGGCUUACAGGGCAUAACAGGAAUUGAUCUGAGAGCUCAGAGAAUGAACAGAAAUUGUGAGUGAGCCAAAGGUAAAUGUGUGUGUAUGUUCCCAUUGAGGAUAAAAGAAGCAACAAGUAAACCCACUACCAAAACCGAAAGAUCACAGUUCAGACUGUGUUUCUAAAAGAUGAAGAAAGGUAAAUCAAUCUUACCCUCAGAUUCAGCAACUUCUAAUAGCUCUGCCAGGGAUGUCAGCAGUGCUGCUGUCUGGCUGCAUUGUGGUUACGGGGUUCAUUUCAAACACUGCAAGCUGUGAACUGUCCUAGAAAAARCUCAACAACUGCAAUUAAACAGUUUUAAAGUCCUAAGUCAUAAAGAAUAGGCAAAUAGUUUUCUUUGCAGUGUCCUGCUUAGGUGGGAGCUGUCUGGCCACUCCUGCAGAAGGAGACUGUGCUCUUAGAAGCACACUUGUGGACACUUUUACAAGGAAGCACCCCAGACUCCUUCGUGCUUGUAGGGAUGAGCCUGAAUGUGUUGAGGUGUCACUAAUGAUCCUUGCAUGGA